UACGUAGGGUGCAAGCGUUUAAUCGGAAUUACUGGGCGUAAAGCGUGCGCAGGCGGUUUUGUAAGUCUGUCGUGAAAUCCCCGGGCUCAACCUGGGAAUUGCGAUGGAGACUGCAAGGCUAGAAUCUGGCAGAGGGGGGUAGAAUUCCACGUGUAGCAGUGAAAUGCGUAGAGAUGUGGAGAACACCGAUGGCGAAGGCAGCCCCCUGGGUCAAGAUUGACGC
rnacentral:rRNA from 1 species